rnacentral:lncRNA from 1 species
AUCAGAUGGAUUUGAUAUUUUGAAAUACAAUAUGGACAACCUGAUCAAAGUUGACAGUUGAACUCUGGGGUAUCCUAUGAUCAUUUUGGUCAAGGAGAUGAAUUAUAUGAAAACUAUAUCCACAUGGGUUCUAAGGAUGUUGUUCUACACAUUCGACCUAUCCGAUCGUCGGAUACCAUUGCUAGAUGGUCACUUCGAUUGGUACAUGAAUUUAUUUCUGUACUACCAGC